rnacentral:rRNA from 1 species
UACAGAGGGUGCAAACGUUGUUCGGAAUUACUGGGCGUAAAGCGCGUGUAGGCGGUCUAGCAAGUCGGAUGUGAAAGCCCUUGGCUCAACUGAGGAAGUGCAUUCGAAACUGCGAGACUUGAGUCCCGGAGAGGAUGGUGGAAUUCUCGGUGUAGAGGUGAAAUUCGUAGAUAUCGAGAGGAACACCGGUGGCGAAGGCGGCCAUCUGGACGGUGACUGACGCUGAGACGCGAAAGCAUGGGGAGCAAACAGG